UUGGCCGAUGGCCGACCAUCGGGCGGUGCUCGGCAGAUCGCUGGGAGCCGAUCAUGACGGCUUGAAGAGCUUGGACCGCAAAAAGGCCGACUUAUGUUGCCGAACCCAUCGGCACUAGCUUGGCCACGGAUGCUGGCCCGGGUGCAUAGGCUGCAUAAUGCCGAGCACGAAAGUUGUGGCUGGCCAGAGACGUAGGCUUCACGCUGGCAUGACGCUGCUGGCCGAUAAUGUAGGAUGCACCCGCCCGCCGCCUAGUCGGCGCCCGAAUAGAAGUCGCCGCCUAGUCGACGCCGACUUCCGCCUGGGGGGGACGGGAUUGGGGAGCGAAAGAAUAGGCAGGAGGAGGUCGCCUCCCGUCUGUGGCAGUCAGAAUUCAGGCAGCAUUCAUGGGGAAGCAACCGGCAAGAGGCAGGCAUGUAGAUGCAUGUUCGGGGGAGCUUUUGGCAGGAAGAGACAUUCAGUGGCUGCUUGAUCGGCGCAGCUUCGCACGGUUUCUAUGGCACUGCACUUCUUGUUCGUGAAAAAUGGACAUUUCCAGCCUGCGAAUUUUCACCUCCUAUGGAUGUCCCCAUUUACUCGUACCAGGGCGGGACCAUAGCAAAAUCAGUCAAGUGACCUGGCUGCAGAGUUCUCUGGUAAAUUGGCUUACGCAAUUCAAGGAAGGACAUCUUCAAGUACCCAUGCAAAACUGUAAUUGAUUAAUUCUCAUUUUUUGUUUGUCACAACAACUAAUUCCUACUAUUACAGCAUUUCACAAGAAAGUAUUACAGUUUCUGUUGUGUUUGUAUCUAAAUAGUUCAAUAAAUGUAGAGAAAAAUCAA